rnacentral:rRNA from 1 species
UACGUAGGGACCAAGCGUUGUUCGGAUUUACUGGGCGUAAAGGGCGCGUAGGCGGCGUGGUAAGUCACUUGUGAAAUCUCUGAGCUUAACUCAGAACGGCCAAGUGAUACUGCUGUGCUAGAGUGCAGAAGGGGCAAUCGGAAUUCUUGGUGUAGCGGUGAAAUGCGUAGAUAUCAAGAGAAACACCUGAGGUGAAGACGGGUUGCUGGGCUGACACUGACGCUGAGGCGCGAAAGCCAGGGGAGCAAACGGG